CCUACGGGGGGCUGCAGUGGGGAAUUUUGGACAAUGGGCGCAAGCCUGAUCCAGCCAUGCCGCGUGCGGGAAGAAGGCCUUCGGGUUGUAAACCGCUUUUGUCAGGGAAGAAAUCCUUUGAGCUAACACCUCGGGGGGAUGACGGUACCUGAAGAAUAAGCACCGGCUAACUACGUGCCAGCAGCCGCGGUAAUACGUAGGGUGCGAGCGUUAAUCGGAAUUACUGGGCGUAAAGCGUGCGCAGGCGGUCUUGCAAGACAGGUGUGAAAUCCCCGGGCUUAACCUGGGAACUGCACUUGUGACUGCAAGGCUGGAGUACGGCAGAGGGGGAUGGAAUUCCGCGUGUAGCAGUGAAAUGCGUAGAUAUGCGGAGGAACACCGAUGGCGAAGGCAAUCCCCUGGGCCUGUACUGACGCUCAUGCACGAAAGCGUGGGGAGCAAACAGGAUUAGAUACCCGGGUAGUC
rnacentral:rRNA from 1 species